GAUGAACGCUGGCGGCGCGCCUAACACAUGCAAGUCGAACGAUUAAAGCACCUUCGGGUGUGUAUAAAGUGGCGAACGGCUGAGUAACACGUGGGCAACCUGCCCCUUUCAUUGGGAUAGCCACGGGAAACCGUGGAUAAUACCGAAUACUUCGAGACUUCCGCAUGGAAGACUCGAGAAAGCUCCGGCGGAGAGGGAUGGGCCCGCGGCCUGUUAGCUUGUUGGUGGGGUAACGGCCUACCAAGGCAAUGAUGGGUAGCUGGGUUGAGAGACCGACCAGCCAGAAUGGGACUGAGACAAGGCCCAGACCCCUACGGGAGGGAGAAGGGGGGAAUUUUGCACAAUGGGCGAAAGCCUUAUGCAGCGACGGCGGGUGCGGGAAGAAGGCCCUCGGGUUGGAAACCGGUUUCAGCAGGGAAGAGGGGAAAGGGACGGGACCUGCCGAAGAAGCCCCGGCCAACUACGUG
rnacentral:rRNA from 1 species